rnacentral:rRNA from 1 species
AAUGAACGCUGGCGGCGUGCUUAACGCAUGCAAGUCGAACGAGAAAGCUCUUCGGAGUGAGUACAGUGGCGAACGGGUGAGUAACGCGUGAGUAUUUGCCCUUCAGUGGAGAAUACCUUCGAGAAAUCGAAGUUAAUGCUUCAUGGUCCCAGAAAUGGGUAAGAUGGCCUCUUGCUAUCGCUGAUGGAUAAGCUUGCGUCCUAUUAGCUAGUUGGUGAGGUAAUGGCUCACCAAGGCAAAGAUGGGUAGCCGGCCUGAGAGGGUGUACGGCCACAUUGGGACUGAGAUACGGCCCAGACUCCUACGGGAGGCAGCAGUGGGGAAUAUUGGACAAUGGGCGAAAGCCUGAUCCAGCCAUGCCGCGUGUGUGAAGAAGGUCUUCGGAUUGUAAAGCACUUUAAGUUGGGAGGAAGGGCAGUAAGCUAAUACCUUGCUGUUUUGACGUUACCGACAGAAUAAGCACCGGCUAACUUCGUGCCAGCCGCCGCCGUAA